rnacentral:rRNA from 1 species
UACGAAGGGGGCUAGCGUUGUUCGGAAUUACUGGGCGUAAAGCGCACGUAGGCGGCUUUUUAAGUCAGAGGUGAAAUCCUGGAGCUCAACUCCAGAACUGCCUUCGAUACUGGGAAGCUCGAGUCCGGGAGAGGUGAGUGGAACUGCGAGUGUAGAGGUGAAAUUCGUAGAUAUUCGCAAGAACACCAGUGGCGAAGGCGGCUCACUGGCCCGGUACUGACGCUGAGGUGCGAAAGCGUGGGGAGCAAACAGG